rnacentral:rRNA from 1 species
UAGCAAUACAGGGUGUGGGCGCGUGGCGAACGGGUGCGUAACACGUGGAUAACCUUCCUUGAGGUGGGGAAUAACCCAGUGAAAAUUGGGCUAAUACCGCAUAACAUCGCGAUGGCACAUGCUGAUGCGAUCAAAGGCGCAAGUCGCCACAAGAGGGAUCCGCGGCCGAUUAGCUUGUUGGCGAGGUAAUGGCUCACCAAGGCAAUGAUCGGUAGCCGGACUGAGAGGUUGGCCGGCCACACUGGAACUGAGACACGGUCCAGACUCCUACGGGAGGCAGCAGUGGGGAAUCUUGCACAAUGGACGAAAGUCUGAUGCAGCAACGCCGCGUGGGGGAUGAAGCUUCUCGGAGUGUAAACCCCUUUCGACCCGGAAGAAUGCCCGCAAGGGUAUGACGGUACGGGUAUAAGAAGCCCCGGCUAACUACGUGCCAGCAGCCGCGGUAAUACGUAGGGGGCCAGCGUUGCUCGGAAUUACUGGGCGUAAAGGGUCCGUAGGCGGUGUAGCAAGUCGAUAGUGAAAUCUCUGGGCUUAACCCAGAGGCUGCUAACGAAACUGCUGUGCUAGAGUGUGAGAGAGGCGAGUGGAAUUACGGGUGUAGCGGUGAAAUGCGUAGAUAUCCGUAGGAACAUCCGAGGCGAAGGCGGCUCGCUGGAUCACAACUGACGCUGAGGGACGAAAGCUAGGGGAGCAAACAGGAUUAGAUACCCUGGUAGUCCUAGCCCUAAACCAUCAGGACUUGGGGUUUGCCCUGUACGGGGCAAGUCCCGUAGCUAACGCGUUAA